rnacentral:rRNA from 1 species
GGUGAACGCUGGCGGCGUGCCUAAUACAUGCAAGUCGAGCGAACGGACGAGAAGCUUGCUUCUCUGAUGUUAGCGGCGGACGGGUGAGUAACACGUGGAUAACCUACCUAUAAGACUGGGAUAACUUCGGGAAACCGGAGCUAAUACCGGAUAAUAUUUUGAACCGCAUGGUUCAAAAGUGAAAGACGGUCUUGCUGUCACUUAUAGAUGGAUCCGCGCUGCGUUAGCUAGUUGGUAAGGUAACGGCUUACCAAGGCAACGAUGCAUAGCCGACCUGAGAGGGUGAUCGGCCACACUGGAACUGAGACACGGUCCAGACUCCUACGGGAGGCAGCAGUAGGGAAUCUUCCGCAAUGGGCGAAAGCCUGACGGAGCAACGCCGCGUGAGUGAUGAAGGUCUUCGGAUCGUAAAACUCUGUUAUUAGGGAAGAACAUAUGUGUAAGUAACUGUGCACAUCUUGACGGUACCUAAUCAGAAAGCCACGGCUAACUACGUG